AGUGAACGCUGGCGGUAGGCCUAACACAUGCAAGUCGAACGGCAGCACGGUAAGAGCUUGCUCUUACGGGUGGCGAGUGGCGGACGGGUGAGGAAUACAUCGGAAUCUACUUUUUCGUGGGGGAUAACGUAGGGAAACUUACGCUAAUACCGCAUACGACCUACGGGUGAAAGCAGGGGAUCUUCGGACCUUGCGCGAUUGAAUGAGCCGAUGUCGGAUUAGCUAGUUGGCGGGGUAAAGGCCCACCAGGGCGACGAUCCGUAGCUGGUCUGAGAGGAUGAUCAGCCACACUGGAACUGAGACACGGUCCAGACUCCUACGGGAGGCAGCAGUGGGGAAUAUUGGACAAUGGGCGCAAGCCUGAUCCAGCCAUACCGCGUGGGUGAAGAAGGCCUUCGGGUUGUAAAGCCCUUUUGUUGGGAAAGAAAAGCAGCAGGUUAAUACCCCGCUGUUCUGACGGUACCCAAAGAAUAAGCACCGGCUAACUUCGUG
rnacentral:rRNA from 1 species